UACGUAGGAGGCAAGCGUUGUCCGGAAUUACUGGGCGUAAAGCGCGUGUAGGCGGAUGCCUAAGUCUGUGGUGAAAGCGCCUGGCUUAACCGGGCGAGGUCCAUGGAAACUAGGCGUCUGGAGGCCGGUAGAGGGGGGUGGAAUUCCGGGUGUAGUGGUGAAAUGCGUAGAGAUCCGGAGGAACACCAGUGGCGAAGGCGGCCCCCUGGGCCGCGCCUGACGCUGAGACGCGAAAGCGCGGGGAGCGAACGGG
rnacentral:rRNA from 1 species